rnacentral:rRNA from 1 species
CAAUAAGCGGAGGAAAAGAAACCAACAGGGAUUGCCCUAGUAACGGCGAGUGAAGCGGCAACAGCUCAAAUUUGAAAUCUGGCUAUUUUGUAGUCCGAGUUGUAAUUUGUAGAGGAUGCUUUUGGUGAGGUGCUUUCUGAGUUCCCUGGAACGGGACGCCAGAGAGGGUGAGAGCCCCGUACAGUUAGCAACUAAUCCUUUGUGUAUAGCUCCUUCGACGAGUCGAGUAGUUUGGGAAUGCUGCUCUAAAUGGGAGGUAUAUCUCUUCUAAAGCUAAAUAUAGGCUAGAGACCGAUAGCGCACAAGUAGAGUGAUCGAAAGAUGAAAAGCACUUUGAAAAGAGAGUUAAACAGCACGUGAAAUUGUUGAAAGGGAAGCGCCUAUGACCAGACUUUGUUUCUAUCAGUUUUGGUAGUUUUAGGACUGCUUUACUCUGUUAGUACAGGCCAACAUCAGUUUGUUGUCGGGGAGAAAGGCUUAGGGAAUGUGGCUCCCUCGGGAGUGUUAUAGACCUUUGCAUAAUACCCUUCGGCAGACUGAGGACCGCGCUUCGGCAAGGAUGUUGGCGUAAUGG